rnacentral:rRNA from 1 species
UACAGAGGUCUCAAGCGUUGUUCGGAUUCAUUGGGCGUAAAAGGGUGCGUAGGUGGCGCUGUAAGUCAGGUGUGAAAUUUCGGAGCUUAACUCCGAAACUGCAUUUGAUACUGCGGUGCUUGAGGACUGGAGAGGAGACUGGAAUUUACGGUGUAGCAGUGAAAUGCGUAGAGAUCGUAAGGAAGACCAGUGGCGAAGGCGGGUCUCUGGACAGUUCCUGACACUGAGGCACGAAGGCCCAGGGGAGCAAAACGGG